rnacentral:rRNA from 1 species
UCAUUUAAUAUUAUCAACCCAUCAUUAGUAUUGAAUAAAUUCAUAAAUUAUGAAAAAUAUUAUGCUAGAACUAGUAACAAGAAAGUGAAUUUCUCCAAAAUGUAAACAUAAACCAAAAUGGACAACCCAUUGGUGAUUAACGACUUUGUACUUAUUAUAGUAAAACAACUAGAAAACUCUAUAUUUUAUGCCGUUAACCUUACACAAGAACUCUUCUGGAAAGAUUAAAAGGAAAAGAAGGAACUCGGCAAAUUUUAACCCCGCCUGUUUACCAAAAACAUCGCCUUUUGCACAAAUAUAAAAGGUCCAGCCUGCCCAGUGUUUUUAAUCAACGGCCGCGUGAUUUAAGCGCGCUAAGGUAGCGUAAUAAUUUGUUCUUUAAAUAAGGACUUGUAUCAAUGGCAUCACGAGGGUUAUACUGUCUCCUCUCCCCAAUCAGUGAAACUAAUCUCCCUGUGAAAAAGCAGGGGUAAGACUAUAAGACGAGAAGACCCCAUGGAGCUUAAAAUACAGCAGCAACUAUAAUAAUAAUAUCAAUACAAUUUUUAGCCAUGUAUGCCAAUUUUAGGUUGGGGUGACCAUGGAGCAAAACAAAGCCUCCACGACGAAAGAGUAUACACCCUUAUCCAAGAGAUACCCCUCUAAGAAUUAUUAAAAUAACGUCCAAUGAUCCGACUAUCGACCAACGGACCAAGUUACCCUGGGGAUAACAGCGCAAUCCACUCUGAAAGCUCCUAUCGACGAGUGGGCUUACGACCUCGAUGUUGGAUCAGGAUAUCCCAGUGGUGCAGCGCUACUAAAGG